UAAUGAGGAAAUCUACCAACUCAGCCACUAAGACUCAGGCUGUACAGUCAGUCCUGCUUAUCUCUGGAAUGCUCCUCUUCCUUCAAUCUAUGCUUCCAAAGGACACAGCAUUGUACAUUGAUCCCAGAAAAGAGAAACUCAGUCCAGGCCUGGAGCAGGACAAGAAACCAGACCCGACAGCUUCACCAGCAGCAGGGCUUCACAUCAGGAAGAUGGCAGUGUGUAUGACAAGAAAGCAAAGAACUUUAUUUUCAUGCAUUUAUUUAUUCAUUUAUUUAUUUAUUCAUUCAUUCAUUUUCAUUCAUUCAUUCACUUUAUAUCCUGGUUGUAGUCCCCUCCCUCCUCUUCUUCUUGUCCCCCAACUAGGAAGCCCAAAUGAACCCUGAGCUGUCCAUCUACUAUGUCUAUGUAAGGGGGCCUAGGUCCAGUCCAUGUGUGGUCCUUGGUUCAGAAGCAGAGGAUUCUUAUGCAUUUACAAGCUGCUGCAGUAUGCAACCACAAAUGAACAUCAUGGGGAGAAUGCCCUGUAGGGAGUGGCAUUCUUUCUGCCCUAACCCCUUCUCCCUCCUUCUUCCCCUCCUUCCGUCCAUUCCUUCUGGCCUUCCCCUGUCUUCCUAUUUUUUCUUCCUUUUCUCCUAUAUCUAGUGCAAUGAUUUUGUUGGCUAUUUUAAGACUCGAGCUAUUAAUUGUUAAGAGACUCUAGUAAAUAUUAAAAGGGAAAGGAAAAUUUAUGAGGGUGGAAAGAGAAAAUGACAUCUUCCAGGAUUUUGUUGAUCAGCUUGGGGACUCAGGUUCGGAGCCUGCCUCAGUCUAUCAGAUCCAAAUUGGUCCCAUCUGUGAAGACUCUCAGUUAGUAAAGACCACAUGCCAUGGACAUGGAAAUGCUUGCCAUGGAGAAAGCAUUUGUGAGACAGUCUAUGCACAGCAGUGGCUACAAUGGCACUGAAUGCAAGUCUAUGUUUGACUAGACUAAAAAGUGAUGCUCGUGGGACAUAAUUGUCCAAAUCCUGAAAAUGGGUGCUUGUGUCUUUGAACCAUGCCUUGUGUCCAGUCCAUAAGAAUUCCAAAGUGGUACAGAUGCUGCCAGCCCCACUUUACAUAUGUGAGGAAGGCAUCCUUGCUCUACAGAGGUGGUCAGUUCCUAUGCAUGUGUGUAGGUGCUUGUAUGUUUUGUGCAUGACUAUUUAAGAGAACUGGACUUUUAAAGUUAGUUUGUACAUAUACCAUUUACAUCAGUGACCUCUGUUCACCCUAACUUUCUUUUUUAAAUUUAUUUUUAUUUUUAUUAAUUACACUUUAUUCACUUUGUAUCCCCCAUGUAGUUCCCUCCCUCCUCCCCUCCCAAUCCCACCCUCCCUCUCUCUUUCCCAACUGUAUUCCUCCCCCAGUCCACUGAUAAGGGUGGUCUUUCUCCUCUUCCUUCUGACUCUACCUUCUAGAUUGUAAUAAACACUUUUCUUUCCAAGGUGGUUUUGGUCAAUGACCUAUCAAAGUGAUGGAGACCAAACUACACAUAAAACCAUAAUCUGAAGUUUGUAUUCUUUUACCUUCCCUCUCUUUCCUCUUUUCCUACCCUCCAUUCUUUUCAUAUUUUUCCUCCCCUUCCUUCUAGAAACUGGCUCCUGAAUACCCACACUUAAUUAUUUUGAAAUGUGAGGGCAAGCUCUGACAACUUGUUACACUCACAUUCUAGGAAGGACUAAGGUGAAGAGCAGGCUGGCAUCUAGCUGAAGCCAUUUAAAAGACAAGACAAUGCUGUGGAAGAAAGAACCAAGCACAAGUAAAAACAAAACAAAACAAACAAACAAAAAACCCUGUCUUAAAUUCAGGAGGAGAUGAUACCAUCUGUGCUGGUUUGAAUAGUAAUGCCCCCUUCCCCAGGAUUAUAUAUUGAAAUGUAUGCUCAUUAGGGAGUGGUACUACUUAGGAGGGAUUGGAGGGUGUGGCCUUGUUGAAGGAAGUGUGUCACUGGGGGUGGGCUUUAGGGUUUCAAAUGCUCAAGCCAGGCCCAGGGGCUCUCUCUCUCUCUCUCUCUCUCUCUCUCUCUCUCUCUCUCUCUCUCUCUCUUUCUGCUGCCUGCAGACCCAGAUGUAGAACACUCUCUGUUUGCCUGUGUGGCACUGUGCUCCCUGCCAUAAGGAUAAUAGACUGAACUUCUGAAACUGUAACCAAGCCUCAAUUAAAUGCUCCUUUUAUAAACAUUUCCAUGGUGAUGGUGUCUCUUCAUAGCAACAGAACUUUGCCUAAGACACCAUCUGAACUAAAGCUGCAAAGAAGACAUCAGAGAAGUGUUGAGGCCCCUGUCCUGCUUCAGGGAUGGGCAGUUACAGCUGACUAACUCUGACUUGAUGUCUUUUUACUUAGCGGAAGCACAGGAACUCAGCCUGUGCAUAGUGCAGACUGAAAUUACAAAAUGAAUCCGCGUUACAUUUAAUUAAAAAUUGGAGUCAACAAAUAAAGAUUGUACAUCCUGAUAGCACACAUACAUUGUUUUGAAACACUUCAGGUUCAUCCUCGAUGAAGUUGCCUAACUAAGUAGUGUGUGUGUGUGUGUGUGUGUGUGUGUGUGUGUGUAUGUGUAUGCAUGCACUCACAUACGUACACAUGCUCGUUGGAAUGUAUGUUUAUCAUAAGCAUCAUAAUCUCAGAGCAUCUUUAACCAUGUUGAAUAAAACCAUCUCGGUUAUUUUAUUUCUUCCUCAGGCUUCCUAGUUUCUGACCUCUUCACUAGCUUUGCUAUUUAGCAAUUCUUUGACUAUUUUGGCUGGUAAUCAGUGCAUAGCUGACUUACUUGCUAGUUUUACAAACAAAAAUUUAAGAAAUAUGACAUUUGAGGGGGUGGAUACAAUCAAUCAUUUUCUCAAAAUGUAUUUUUUUGGUUUUGGCCUUGUUCUGAUAGCUGGGGAUUUUGUUGUUGUUUGUUGUUUUAUUUUUUCUUUUUAGGUUGAUUUUUGUUGUUAUUCCUGUGUUGAUGUCUGUAUCUACCAUGUGUGUGCAGAAACGUUCAGAGGCCAGAAUAGGAUGUUUAACCUUUUGGAACUGGAGUAACAAACAGUUGAGAGCCAAACUUGGAGUCCCUAGAGGAGCAGUAUUAACUGUCGAGUUAUUUAUCUAGUUCCAAACAGCUGCGUUUUAGAUUUUUUUUUACAUGCUUACUGUUUAUUAAUAGUAAACAAACUAAGUUUCUUUCUGUCUGGAGCUUAGAUUAUUACCUGUUGCGUCAAGUCUCAGAGUCAAUGUUUCUCGUGAGAUAAGGGGCUUCUUUUUCUGUUUGCACCUUCCCUAAAGACACACCUCAGAGUGUCUUGGAGUUAAAUUGUCCACGAGUGAGAUGCUGGCCUUCCCUUUGCAGUGCUCUUCUAUUCUAGUAAAUUGCUCACUGUUGCGAUGGUUUUAAUUUUUAAUUUCAGAAACAUAACAAACACACAAGCUUAAUACUUCAACACUACAGAGUGUAUGAAAUAAGUCAUCUCCCCACACUGACCCCCCUAGCUUGUUUCCUGACAGGAGUGUACCCAAAACCUUUGUUACAGAGAUCAACUCCAUUCCUCAGCCUGCAGUUCAAAGAUCACCCUGCCCUUUCUGCACUCGGGCGUCUUCCUUCAUUUCUUUUCCACAGUCUUUCUUCCUCUUUCCUUAUAUAUUCCAGACUCAACUCCCCAGCUGCAGACACAUCUACUAUGCACUCCCUAACUCCGGUUUAUUCUUAGCUUCCUCAAUGGGCCUUUAUGCUUGUCUUCUCUCUCUCUCAAUAAAAAUUUUAUUUUUUUAAUUUUAAAA